rnacentral:rRNA from 1 species
GACGAACGCUGGCGGCGUGCCUAAUACAUGCAAGUUGAGCGCUGAAGGUUGGUACUUGUACCGACUGGGUGAGCGGCGAACGGGUGAGUAACGCGUGGGGAAUCGGCCUUUGAGGGUGGGACAACAUUUGGAAACGAAUGCUAACACCGCAUAAAAACUUUAAACACAAGUAUUAUGGUUGAAAGAUGCAAUUGCAUCACUCAAAUAGGAUCCCGCGUUGGAUUAGGUAGUUGGUGGGGUAAAGGCUCAACCAGGCGUUGAAUCAUAGCCGAGCUGGGAGGGUGAAUGAGCACAAUGGGACCGGGAAACGGCCCAAACCCCCAAGGGAGGGAGCAAGAGGGGAACAUCGGCAAUGGACGAAAGGCUUACCGCGGAAAGCCGCGUGAGUGAAGGAGGUUUUCGGAUCGUAAAACUCUGUUGGUAGGGAAGAACGGGGGUGAGAGUGGAAAGCUGAUGAAGUGACGGUAACUACACAGAAAGCGACGGCUAACUACGUG